rnacentral:rRNA from 1 species
UACAGAGGGGGCAAGCGUUGUUCGGAAUUACUGGGCGUAAAGGGCGCGUAGGCGGCCUGCUAAGUCGAACGUGAAAUCCCCGAGCUCAACUCGGGAACUGCGUCCGAUACUGGCAGGCUUGAAUCCGGGAGAGGGAUGCGGAAUUCCAGGUGUAACGGUGAAAUGCGUAGAUAUCUGGAGGAACACCGGUGGCGAAGGCGGCAUCCUGGACCGGCAUUGACGCUGAGGCACGAAAGCGUGGGGAGCAAACAGG